GCUAUUUAGGUUAGAGUUUGAUCAUGGCUCAGGACGAACGCUGGCGGCGCGCCUAAAACAUGCAAGUCGAACGAGAAGCCCGGGCUUGCCCGGGUGGACAGUGGCGAACGGGUGAGUAACACGUGAGGAACCUGCCCCGAAGACCGGGACAACACCGGGAAACCGGUGCUAAUACCGGAUACCUUCACCGGAUCGCAUGGUCUGGUGAAGAAAUGGAUUCCGCUUCGGGAUGGCCUCGCGGCCUAUCAGCUAGUUGGUGAGGUAACGGCUCACCAAGGCGACGACGGGUAGCUGGUCUGAGAGGAUGUCCAGCCACACUGGGACUGAGACACGGCCCAGACUCCUACGGGAGGCAGCAGUUAGGAAUCUUGCGCAAUGGACGAAAGUCUGACGCAGCGACGCCGCGUGCGGGAUGAAGGCCCUCGGGUCGUAAACCCCUUUUGUGAAGGAAGAAGUUCUGACGGUACUUCACGAAUAAGACACGGCUAACUACGUGCCAGCAGCCGCGGUAAUGUCGGCCC
rnacentral:rRNA from 1 species